UACGGAGGGGGCUAGCGUUGUUCGGAAUUACUGGGCGUAAAGCGCGCGUAGGCGGCUUUGUAAGUUAGAGGUGAAAGCCCCGGAGCUCAACUCCGGAAUUGCCUUUAAGACUGCAUCGCUAGAAUCAUGGAGAGGUGAGUGGAAUUCCUGGUGUAGCGGUGAAAAUGCGCAGAUAUCAGGAGGAACACCAAUUGCGAAGGCAGCUCGCUGGGACGUUACUGACGCUGAGACGCGAAAGCGUGGGGGAGCAAACAGG
rnacentral:rRNA from 1 species